rnacentral:rRNA from 1 species
GAUGAACGCUGGCGGCGUGCCUAAUACAUGCAAGUCGAGCGAACAGACGAGGAGCUUGCUCCUUCGACGUUAGCGGCGGACGGGUGAGUAACACGUAGGUAACCUACCUAUAAGACUGGGAUAACUUCGGGAAACCGGAGCUAAUACCGGAUAAUAUUUCGAACCGCAUGGUUCGAUAGUGAAAGAUGGCUUUGCUAUCACUUAUAGAUGGACCUGCGCCGUAUUGGCUAGUUGGUAAGGUAACGGCUUACCAAGGCAACGAUACGUAGCCGACCUGAGAGGGUGAUCGGCCACACUGGAACUGAGACACGGUCCAGACUCCUACGGGAGGCAGCAGUAGGGAAUCUUCCGCAAUGGGCGAAAGCCUGACGGAGCAACGCUGCGUGAGUGAUGAAGGUCUUCGGAUCGUAAAACUCUGUUACUAGGGAAGAACAAACGUGUAAGUAACUGUGCACGUCUUGACGGUACCUAAUCAGAAAGCCACGGCUAACUACGUG